GUGCCCUCAUUGGGGUCACCACUUUGCACGCUUAUGGUGAAGGACUCACGCAUUGCACGGCACACGUGUGCAACGCGGGUGUGAAAUGAAGGUCUUGUGCAGGGCACUUGUGCAACGAGGCACUUGUGCAACGCACGGGGCCGUGCAAGGAAGCACUUGUGCAAUGCACGAUGCUGCUUUGCACGGAGGCUCUUGUGCAUUGCACGGCGCUGCAUGCUGCAUACGGACGUGCAACAACACGCUUGUGCAACACGUAGCGCCGUGCAACGCACACUCAUUUGCACUGCGUGCUUUGCACGGCGGCCCUCUUUGCACGGCAGCCCCCGUGCAAUGCACGCUGGAGGACUUUUGCAGCGUGCAAUGGUGUGCAAUGCAGCAGCUGUUGCACGGCAGCCCUCGUGCAAGGCAUGGGGUGGGGGUGUGCAACGCCCCUCCGUGUGCAACAUCCCCUCGUGCAACGCCGUGUGGCCAUCGUGAGCUCCGGGUGGGCGUGCAAGAGGUGGACGUGGAAGGAAGCCCGGAUCCUCGUGCGACGGCGUCCCCUUGUGCAACGAACGGUGGCUCCAGUGCAAUGGUGGCCUCGUGCAACGAUGGUCCUUGUGCAACACCAGAUCUUGUGCGACGUGGGAGCUCGUGCAACACCUGACCUCGUGCACAUGGGGCCUCGUGCAACAUGGAGCCUUGUGCAACGCCAGAUCUUGUGCAACAUGGGGCCUCAUGCAUCAGUGGUCCUUGUGCAACACGGGGCCUCGUGCAACAUGGGGCCUCGUGCAACGCCAGUACUUGUGCAACAUGGGGCCUUGUGCCACAUGGAGCCUCGUGCAACGACAGAUCUUGAGCGACGUGGGGCCUCGUGCAACAGCAGAUCACAUGCAACGCAGGGCCUCGUGCAGCACCGGUCCUUGUGCAACGCAGAGUCACGUGCAACGCCAGAUCUCGUGCAACAGGGAGCCUCAUGCAUCAGUGGUCCUUGUGCAACACGGGGCCUUGUGCAACGUGGAGCCUCGUGCAACAACAGAUCUUGAGCGACGUGGGGCCUCGUGCAACGCCAGAUCUCGUGCAACACGGGGCCUCGUGCAGCGCUGGUCCUUGUGCAAUGCGGGGCCUCGUGCAACAACAGAUCUUGUGCAACAUGGGGCCUCAUGCAACGCCAGAUCUCGUGUAACGUGGGGCCUUGUGCAACACCAGAUCUCGUGCAACAUGGAGCCUUGUGCAACACGGGGCCUCGUGCAGCGCUGGUCCUUGUGCAAUGCGGGGCCUCGUGCAACGCCAGAUCUCGUGCAACAGGGAGCCUCAUGCAUCAGUGGUCCUUGUGCUACACGGGGCCUCGUGCAACAUGGGGCCUCGUGCAACAACAGAUCUCGUGCAAUGCUGGUCUUUGUGCAACGCGGGGCCUCGUGCAACAUAGGGCCUCGUGCAACACCAGAUCUUGUGCAACAUGGGGCCUCAUGCAUCAGUGGUCCUUGUGCAACACGGGGCCUCGUGCAACACCAAAUCUUGAGCGACGUGGGACCUCGUGCAACACCAGAUCUUGUGCAACGCGGGGCCUUGUGCAACAUGGAGCCUCGUGCAACACCGGUCCUUGUGCAACACGUGCGGGGCCUCGUGCAACAGCAGAUCUCGUGCAACACGCGGCCUCAUGCAGCGCUGGUCCCUGUGCAACACGGGGCUUCGUGCAACAUGGAGCCUCGUGCAGCAUGGGGCCUCCUGCAACGCUGGUCCUUGUGCAACAUGGGGCCUCGUGCAACACCAGAUCUCGUGCAACGCUGGUCCUUGUGCAACACCAGAUCUUGAGCGACGUGGGACCUCGUGCAACACCAGAUCUCGUGCAACGGGGAGCCUCAUGCAUCACCGUUCCUAGUGCAACACGGGGCCUCGUGCAACAACAGAUCUUGAGCGACAUGGGGCCUCGUGCAACACCAGAUCUCGUGCAACAGGGAGCCUCCUGCAUCACCAUUCCUAGUGCAACACGGGGCUUCGUGCAACAUGGAGCCUCGUGCAAUGCUGGUCUUUGUGCAACGCGCGGCCUCGUGCAACAUAGGGCCUCGUGCAACAACAGAUCUUGAGCGACAUGGGGCCUCGUGCAACACCAGAUCUCGUGUAACGUGGGGCCUUGUGCAACACCGGUCCUUGUGCAACGCAGAGCCACGUGCAACACCAGAUCUUGAGCGACGUGGGACCUCGUGCAACACCAGAUCUCGUGCAAUGCGGGGCCUCGUGCAAUGCUGGUCUUUGUGCAACGCGGGGCCUCGUGCAACAUAGGGCCUCGUGCAACAACAGAUCUCGUGCAACACGGGGCCUCGUGCAACACCUGAUCUCGUGUAACGUGGGGCCUCAUGCAUCACUGGUCCUUGUGCAACGCGGGGCCUCGUGCAACAUGGAGCCUAGUGCAACACCAGAUCUCGUGCAACGCAGGGCCUCGUGCAGCGCUGUUCCUUGUGCAACGCGGGGCCUCAUGCAACACCAGAUCUCGUGCAACGUGGGCCUUGUGCAACACCGGUCCUUGUGCAAGGCACGACCUCCUGCAGCACCAAACCUCGUGCAACGGGGGGCCUUGUGCAACACCAGACCUUGUGCAACGCGGGGCCUCGUGCAACACACCCUCGUGCAGCUGCAAAACGUGUGAGAGGCACAAACACUCCGCGGCUCCGUGCAACACGGGGCCUUGUGCAACGGACACGUGCAACGUGCAGCUGCCCUCACACUCGGACUCGUGCUCGGGCCUCGUGCGCCUCGGACUUGUGCACGCCGUGCAACGGACUUGUGAGGUGCGGGGCCUCGUGCAAGAACUUCGUGUGAUGCAGGGCCUUUUGCAACUGUAUUGUGCAACACAGGGACUUGUGCAACGCUAUGGUGCAAGGGGGUCUUGUGCAAGGCAAUGGUGCAACAACGCUGGGCCUUGUGCAACUGUAUUGUGCAACACUAUGGUGCAACGUGGAGUCUUGUGCAAGGCAAUGGUGCAACAGGGGGUCUUGUGCAAGGCAAUGGUGCAACAACACUGGGCCUUGUGCAGCUGUAUUGUGCAACACAGGGUCUUGUGCAAGACAAUGGUGCAAUGCUGGGCCUUGUGCAACUGUAUCAUGCAACGCGGGGUCUUGUGCAAGGCAAUGGUGCAACAUGAGGUCCUGUGCAAGGCAAUGGUGCAACGCUGGACCUUGUGCAACACUAAGGUGCAACAUGGGGUCUUGUGCAACUGUAUUGUGCAACACAGGGUCUUGUGCAAGGCAGUGGUGCAACAGGGGGUCUUGUGCACGGCAAUGGUGCAGCAGUGGGCCUUGUGCACCUGGAUUGUGCAACACAGGGCCUUGUGCAACACUGGAGUGCCACAUGGGAUCGUGUGCAACGCAGUGGUGCACCCUCAUAGUGCAAAGCAGAUCCUUGUGCAACACCCCCAUGAAAGACCAGGCCUUGCACGGUGUCCUCGUGCAACAGCAGGUGGAUACACGGGGCCUCGUGCAAAGGCCUCGUGCAGCGACGUGCGGUGAAAGGCGCCCUCGUGCAAUGCCCUCGUGCAACACGGGGGCUCUUGUGCAAAGGCAUUGUGCAAAGGUGGGUCUUGUGCGACGCCAUCGUGCAAUGGUGCGGUUACAGAGUGCCUCGUGCAACCCUGCGGUGCAAAAUGCACGCUUGUGCAAAGGCCUCGUGCAACGGGCUGGCCUCUUGGAGAGGCUUCGUGCAACACCGGGCCUUGUGCAAUGCUCCUUGUGCAAUGGUGCGGUGGUGCAGGAGGCCUCGUGCAACACUACAGGGUAUUCGUGCAAAGGCCUCGUGCAGCAGCCGACUGUGGGAUCUGCCUCGUGCAAAGGCCUUGUGCAACGGCUUGUGCAACACUACAGAGGAAGCGGAGCUCUUGUGCAAGGCUCUCGUGCAACAGCGUGAAGCACACGUGAUGCAGCUGCAAGGAGUGGAUCCUUGUGCAACAGGAUGUGCUAGUGCAAGGGCUGGGUCAUCGUGCAACGGCCUGCUGCACCAGCCCUUGUGCAAGAGAUGGGCCCUUGUGCAACAGACCCGUGCAACAUCCCUGUGCAAGAGGUGACCCCUUGUGCAACACACUUGUGCACCACACCAUACCUGUGCAAGAGGCGGCCCUUUGUGCAAUGGACUUGUGCACCACUGCUUGUGCAAGAGGACUCCCAAUGUGCAACAGCCUUGCACUACACUCGUGCACCACCCCUCGUGCAAGAGGAGCCCCCUCGUGCAAAUGCCUUGCACACCACCCCUUGUGCAACGCCCUUGCACACCACCCCUUGUGCAACACCCAGUGUGCACCACCCCUCGUGCAAGAGAAGGCCCACGUGCAAAUGCCUUGCACAACACCCCUCGUGCACCACCCCUCGUGCAAGAGGAGCCCCACGUGCAAAUGCUUUGCACAACACCCCUCGUGCACCACCCCUCGUGCAAGAGGAGCCCCACGUGCAAAUGCCUUGCACACCACCCCUCGUGCACCACAAGCGGCCGUCGUGCAAGGAGCACAGCCGUGCGAGGCCGUCGUGCAACGCCGUCGUGCAACGCCGUCGUGCAACGCCGCCCCCCAAUGGUUGGAAAGGAGAUGGAGGGGGGGGGGGUGUGCAGGAAAAGCCAACCCAACUCAUUAAGGAUUCAUUAACGAGAACUUAAUUGGGGUCCGGGAAUGGAGGGGGGAGGGGGGGGGGGGGGAUUUUUUAAAGGGGCCGCCGCAGGAAAUGCCCCCCUGAGGCCAAAAGCACU
rnacentral:lncRNA from 1 species